GUGCUUGCUCCGGCAGCACAUGUACUAAAAUUGGAACGAUACAGAGAAGAUUAGCAUGGUCCCAGCGCAAGGAUGACGUGCACAUUUGUGAAGGUUUCCAUAUUAAA